AUGCGAUACCUGACUAUGCUGUACCAGAGAUCAGACAGUCACAGGAUCAGGCAGCCUUGUAAUGUCCUACCCAUCCUGGAGAGUUUUGGGAAUGCCAGAACCAUCCUCAAUGACAACUCAAGUCGUUUUGGGAAGCUUCUGAACAUCUACCUGCGACAGUGAGUUAAAAGAACAUCAUCACAGGAUGCUGUCCUUCCUAACUGUCCAGGGGGACUUGGGUGAGCAAAGAUCUAGUAGAGCUUAGGGCUCAUGCAAUAGCUUUCCUCCCACUAUAGCCUUGUUAUCAUCAGGGCAGGAGGGUGAGUUUACACCCCUACUUUGCUUUUAGAUUUCCUCCACAAAAAAAUAGAUCUUCACCUCUCGAGAUGGAUGAUAAAUUAAGAACAUCAGACUGUCUGAACUGCUUUAUAUCAAGGAGCUAUGUGAUACAAUAUUGUGCCUCCGGCACUGGCAACAAGCAUUCAUACCACACUUCUCUCUAAUACUCUGUUAACCCCUAAGAAAUUUUUUUUGGUGCUGUUGCAAAACACUGAGCUGACAUUUUCAUGAAACUAUCAUAACCUCAAAGUCUCAGUUCUAAGCAGCAAUGGUUAACUCAGUUUAUAUGUGAAGCUGGGGUUACUUCAGUUUGUGUGCAUCCCUUUACAUUUAUCUCCAGUGAAUUUAAUGUGACAUUUUAUUGCUCACUCAUUCAGUAUUGUAAGGUCUAUCUGCAGUUAUUGGCCUUCAACCUCACUACCUUGAAUAAUUUCAUAAUGUCAGGAAGCUUUGUUGUAUUGCUGUUCAGCUCUCUUUUAAGUCACUUAAAUCAAACCUUCAAUUACACUUAAGGGCCGGAAGACAGACAAUUUGUGGAACUCUAGUGGUUACCUCCCAGUUUUAAGAGUAUUAGCCAUUUACUCCUACCCAUGUCAAGACCUUCCUUCUUCUGCCAUAAUUGUCUGCUUUCCUUAAAAGUUCCCUGACUUGAUAAAACCUUCUGGAAGUUCACACAGACUGUAUUCCUCAGGUCUUUCUCAUCUGCAUGCUUGUCAUCCUGUUGAAAAUACUCCAGGAGGCUUGUGGGACAGGACCUCUCUUUACAGAAGCCAUAGUGACUCUUCUCAAAUCAAUUGUAUCUAUUCAGAUGGCCACUAAUUUCUUCCCUUCAUUACACACCUACUUAAUCUGCAUGGGACAUGUGUAAGGCUUACAGGCCGAUUGAUCCUUGCCCACUCCUUUACUCCAGGCUGCUGGCUGCAUGGCCCAGUAUUGCUGUAGUACUUGGACAUCCUGCUUUUGGUCCAAGUUAACUUUGUAAAAGGUGCAAUUCAAAUACAAAACAAAAUGGUGAUCCCUUUCCUCACAGGCUGUCAGUCUGACACAUAGAAUGAAUGUGUAAGGGUAGAUGAGACAGUGAUAGUGCAACACUCAUCAGACAAGGCUGAAGGACGGGUGCUUGCCUUGUCUCCUGGAGAAUUUUCAGGACAUAAAGUAUGAGCAUCAUUCAAAUCCGAGCUCCUUUGUACUCUGGAGGCUCUUCAGAAAUCAAACUCGAAUCUUGAUGUUUCAUAGCUGCUUUCUCUGUAAUAGCAUGAUACAAUACACUGGUGCUGGAAAGCUUCAGAAUUCAGACCAAGUCAGUCAGGUUGUAUCCUUGUUUCUCGGUAACGACUCCUUUUGCUGAUCCCACAGACAAGUAGAUCUACCUGAAAUGUCUGACUAGCUUCUGAUAGGGUCUGUUGUCUUCUUGUGCUUAGCGGGGCCGUGGUGGGAACGUCCAUCUCUCAGUACCUGCUGGAGAAGUCUCGUGUGGUAUUUCAGGUGAGGACCAAUGAGUUCCUCUCUCCCUUUUUCAUAUUUAAUAUGAAAUCUAAUGUUAAAUAACAGGGAUGGGAAAAAUGAGAAUUACUUCCCAUUUCUUCUGUUAGCAAGAAAUAAGUUCCCUCUGUAUAGCAAAAGGUAAUCACUUAUUUUAUAUGAAUAAAAUAGGAGCUUGCUGUAUCUCAAACAGGUUGAAGUAUGCCACUUAUUAGGGAUUACUGAAAGUUAAAUCUUUCCUCACCUAAUUUUUCUUAAUGUCUGGAGUGUGGAAAAGGUCAGGUAUUGGAGCUGCACAAAAGGGACUGCUCUCGGAUGGAGUGCUCUGAAGGUGUCAGUGAGAAACCCUGGAAACUUUUUGAAUAGUAGUUCUUGGAUAAUUUCUAGCAUCAUCUUGCUGACCUCUCAGAGAAAGUUCAGUGUCCAGCUUUUGAGUGUUUGGUUUG
rnacentral:lncRNA from 1 species